GAUGAACGCUGGCGGCGUGCUUAACACAUGCAAGUCGAACGGGAAAUACUUCAUUGAGACUUCGGUGGAUUUGAUUUAUUUCUAGUGGCGGACGGGUGAGUAACGCGUGGGUAACCUGCCUUAUACAGGGGGAUAACAGUCAGAAAUGACUGCUAAUACCGCAUAAGCGCACAGAGCUGCAUGGCUCAGUGUGAAAAACUCCGGUGGUAUAAGAUGGACCCGCGUUGGAUUAGCUAGUUGGUGGGGUAACGGCCCACCAAGGCGACGAUCCAUAGCCGGCCUGAGAGGGUGAACGGCCACAUUGGGACUGAGACACGGCCCAGACUCCUACGGGAGGCAGCAGUGGGGAAUAUUGCACAAUGGGGGAAACCCUGAUGCAGCGACGCCGCGUGAAGGAAGAAGUAUCUCGGUAUGUAAACUUCUAUCAGCAGGGAAGAUAGUGACGGUAC
rnacentral:rRNA from 1 species